GACGUAGGGGGCGAGCGUUGUCCGAAGUUACUGGGCGUAAAGCGCGCGUAGGCGGUCAUUUAAGUUCGGGGUGAAAGGUUCAGCGCUCAACGCGAACAGUGCCUUGAAUACUGGGUGACUUGAGUUCGGGAGAGGGCAGUGGAAUUCCUGGUGUAGCGGUGAAAUGCGUAGAUAUCAGGAGGAACACCUGAGGUGAAGACGGGUUGCUGGGCCAACACUGACGCUGAGGCGCGAAAGCCAGGGGAGCAAACGGG
rnacentral:rRNA from 1 species